rnacentral:rRNA from 1 species
UGAGGAACAUGACCUUCGGCGGGGGAGUAGCCGGCCCAACGGCCGGGUAAUACCGCGUACGACCACAUGGGGACAUCCCUGAGUGGUGAAAGCAGCAAUGCGCCGAUGGAGUGCCUCGCGGCCUAUCAGCUAGUUGGUGAGGUAACGGCUCACCAAGGCAACGAUGCGUAGCCGACCUGAGAGGGUGAUCGGCCACAUUGGAACUGAGACACGGUCCAGACCUNUACGGGGAGG